rnacentral:rRNA from 1 species
GAUGAACGCUGGCGGCGUGCCUAAUACAUGCAAGUCGAGCGAACGGACGAGAAGCUUGCUUCUCUGAUGUUAGCGGCGGACGGGUGAGUAACACGUGGAUAACCUACCUAUAAGACUGGGAUAACUUCGGGAAACCGGAGCUAAUACCGGAUAAUAUUUUGAACCGCAUGGUUCAAAAGUGAAAGACGGUCUUGCUGUCACUUAUAGAUGGAUCCGCGCUGCAUUAGCUAGUUGGUAAGGUAACGGCUUACCAAGGCAACGAUGCAUAGCCGACCUGAGAGGGUGAUCGGCCACACUGGAACUGAGACACGGUCCAGACUCCUACGGGAGGCAGCAGUAGGGAAUCUUCCGCAAAGGGCGAAAGCCUGACGGAGCAACGCCGCGUGAGUGAUGAAGGUCUUCGGAUCGUAAAACUCUGUUAUUAGGGAAGAACAUAUGUGUAAGUAACUGUGCACAUCUUGACGGUACCUAACCAGAAAGCCACGGCUAACUACGUG